UAUUUGUCCUGUAAAGAGUUGAGCACUGCACUUGGGCGGGACACACCACCUCCCUCCUCCAUGGCACACAGACCCAACACGAGGCAGAGACACAGAGACCCACAGCAGGGUGGGGACAUUCCCAUGCCGCGUGCACACACACACAGACCCACAUGUGGACAGGGGUAUCCUCCCGUGCUUGGCCUCAAUGCAGGCCUGCUGGGCCCAUAUGUGGCUGUCGUCCUCAUCACCCUCAUGGUUCAGCUGGCACUCUUCCAGCCCCCUGGGGGAUGACCAGGAUGACCAUCAGAGAUGGACCUGGCCAGGAGAUGUCUGACCACACCCCAACCCCAGGGCUAACAUCCAUGCUUCUUCCCCACAUUUCCUGCUUGCCAGUAAAGCCUUCAAUAAACAUACAAACAAAAAAAGGAAUGGUUCAGCAAAUUCAGUCUGCGUGCAUGGAGUGCCAGGACCGUGGGGAGCAGAUCAGUCCUAAAGACAGAUGUAAAAGCUGCAAUGGAAGGAAGAUAGUUCAAGAGAAGAAACUUCUAGAAGUUCAUAUUGACAAAGGCAUGAAAGAUGGCCAGAAGAUAACAUUCCAUGGUGAAGGAGACCAAGAACCAGGACUGGAGCCAGGAGAUAUUAUCACUGCUUUAGAUCAGAAGGACCAUGCUGUUUUUACUAGAUGAGGAGACCUUGGCAUGUGGAUGGACACACAGCUGGUUGAAGUAUUGUGUGACUUCCAAAAGCUGACGUCUACUCUUGACAACUGAACCACAGUCACCACCUCGGAGAUAUCAAGUGUGUACUAAAUGAAGGCAUGCCAAUUUACUGUAGACUGUAUGAAAAGGGUCACCUAAUCACCGAAUUUCAGGUAAACUUUCCUGAGAAUGGCGUUCUCUCUCCUGAUAAACUGUCUUUGCUGGAAAAACUCCUAUCGGAGAGGAAGGAGUAGAAGAGACUGAUGAGAUGGAUCAGGUAGAACUGGUGGACUUUGAUCCAAAUCAGGAAAGACGGCGCCAUUACAAUGGAGAAGCAUAUGAGGAUGAUGACCAUCACCCCAGAGGUGGUGUUCAGUGCCAGACCUCUUAAUGGGCCAGUGAAUAACACUCACUGCUGGCAUUUUAUGUGCAGUAGUGAAUGAGUAA